UUUAGCCCUGAUGGAAGCGGCAUCCUUUUUCUGGCUUCUUUAGCCAGGAAAAGAUAUAGCGGACAGCAGGAUUA
rnacentral:sRNA from 1 species